AGAGUUUGAUUAUGGCUCAGGAUUAACGCUGGCGGCGUGCCUAAUACAUGCAAGUCGAAUGGUUAGCUUGCUAACCAUGGCGAACGGGUGAGUAACACGUAGGCAACCUGUCUAAGAGACGAGGAUAACCAUUGGAAACGAUGGAUAAUACUGGAUAAGAUAUUGGGAGGCAUCUUCUGAUAUUUAAAGAUUUAUCGCUAAUAGAGGGGCCUGCGGCGCAUUAGCUAGUUGGUGAGGUAACGGCCCACCAAGGCGAUGAUGCGUAGCCGGACUGAGAGGUUGAACGGCCACAAUGGGACUGAGAACGGCCCAUACUCCUACGGGAGGCAGCAGUAGGGAAUUUUCGGCAAUGGACGAAAGUCUGACCGAGCAACGCCGCGUGAACGAAGAAGUAUUUCGGUAUGUAAAGUUCUUUUAUUUGGGAAGAAAAUACAUUGACUGUACCAAAUGAAUAAGCUCCGGCUAACUACGUGCCAGCCGCGGC
rnacentral:rRNA from 1 species